rnacentral:rRNA from 1 species
GAUUAAGCCAUGCAUGUGUAAGUAUAACUAAUUGACUUUGAAACUGCGAAUGGCUCAUUAUAUCAGUUAUAGUUUAUUUGGUGAAGGAUACUAAUUGGAUAACCGUAGUAAUUCUAGGGCUAAUACAUGAGUAAAGUCCCAUUGGGAUGUGUUUAUUAGAAUGAAAACCAUAUGCUUCGGCAGGAUAGUGAGUAAUAGUAACCUAUCGUAUCGCAUGCUUAAAGUAGCGAUGAGUCUUUCAAGUUUCUGCCCUAUCAGCUUUACGAUGGUAGUGUAUUGGACUACCAUG